GUGCCAGCCGCCGCGGUAAGACGUAGGGGGCGAGCGUUGUCCGGAUUUAUUGGGCGUAAAGAGCGCGUAGGCGGCCCGUUAAGUCGGAUGUGAAAACCCGUGGCUCAACCACGGGCCUGCAUCCGAUACUGGCGGGCUCGAGGCAGGCAGGGGAGAUCGGAAUUCCUGGUGUAGCGGUGAAAUGCGCAGAUAUCAGGAGGAACACCGGUGGCGAAGGCGGAUCUCUGGGCCUGUCCUGACGCUCAGGCGCGAAAGCUAGGGGAGCAAACAGGAUUAGAAACCCGCGUAGUCC
rnacentral:rRNA from 1 species